CAGUCGCCACGGGAACACGGAGGGUGCAAGCGUUAAUCGGAAUUACUGGGCGUAAAGCGCACGCAGGCGGUCUGUCAAGUCAGAUGUGAAAUCCCCGGGCUUAACCUGGGAACUGCAUUUGAAACUGGCAGGCUAGAGUCUUGUAGAGGGGGGUAGAAUUCCAGGUGUAGCGGUGAAAUGCGUAGAGAUCUGGAGGAAUACCGGUGGCGAAGGCGGCCCCCUGGACAAAGACUGACGCUCAGGUGCGAAAGCGUGGGGAGCAAACAGGAUUAGAUACCCCAGUAGUCCCUGUCUCUUAUAC
rnacentral:rRNA from 1 species